rnacentral:rRNA from 1 species
GAUGAACGCUGGCGGCGUGCCUAAUACAUGCAAGUCGAGCGAACAGAUAAGGAGCUUGCUCCUUUGACGUUAGCGGCGGACGGGUGAGUAACACGUGGGUAACCUACCUAUAAGACUGGAAUAACUCCGGGAAACCGGGGCUAAUGCCGGAUAAUAUUUAGAACCGCAUGGUUCUAAAGUGAAAGAUGGUUUUACUAUCACUUAUAGAUGGACCCGCGGCGUAUUAGCUAGUUGGUGGGGUAAUGGCUUACCAAGGCAACGAUACGUAGCCGACCCGAGAGGGUGAUCGGCCACACUGAAACUGAGACACGGUCCAGACUCCUACGGGAGGCAGCAGUAGGGAAUCUUCCGCAAUGGGCGAAAGCCUGACGGAGCAACGCCGCGUGAGUGAUGAAGGUCUUCGGAUCGUAAAACUCUGUUAUAGGGAAGAACAAAUGUGUAAGUAACUGUGCAUAUCUUGACGGUACCUAAUCAGAAAGCCACGGCUAACUACGUGCCAGCCGCCGCCGUAA